UAUGGAUCUAUGACAGAAGUAUGAGCUCAAACUGACAUGGCCUACCUUGUGCACAGAGAAAGCAAAAGCCAGAUGUGUUUUGUAUUCAUACCAUCAGUGUGCAGUUGGCGCAUUGUGUGCUUAGUAGAUGAUGGCUUGUGUGUACUGUUUGAUACGGAAACACCAUUUUUACAAAGGUGUGAAGAGUUAAUCUAGCUGUGUUUGCUUUUGCAAGAGAACUACAAUGUUUUGAUGAUUGGGUGACAGGUUUUCUUAUUUGUGUGAAGAGUUUUGCAAAAUUAGCCAAUAGUUACAAAAAAUGUGCUUAAGCAAUCAGAAAAAACUGUAAUCCUGAAGGAAAUUAGGGCCCCGGUCUCCCUCAGAAUGCUGUUGAAGCUCUACUGAAGUAGAAGAUCUCACGGACCAUCCAUUCCAAGAGCACCCUCACUAUGUUUAGAUGUGCCACCUGAUCCAACUCAGCACCAGGUGUUUAUCAGUUGACAGCUCAGCCCCUCUAUUCAACCAUGUCCAGUACAUUAGGCUGCAGAUCUGAUGAUACGACUACAAAAUUGAUCAUUGACCCGUGGCCCACAGUAUCUUGGAGCCACGUGCACUUAUCUAAUUUAUUUAUUUGAUUAACAUUUAAAUCUCUCAGUGAAUACAGAAUAAAGAUCUACCACAAAGCAAGAAAGCAGGAGAUAAGGCUAGUCAAAAAGCUAUUAGCAGAAGCAAAAGAGAACAAUAAAGCGUCUAUAAUGAAUUCUUGCUCAGGACAUCUUUUGUUUUGUACAGAAUAGCAACGGUUUUUAACUUUUUUGUUUUCACAUUGUCACGGAUCCGGUUCCAGGGACUCGGGGUCCGUGAAGAGUGUGGACCAUUAUUGUUAUUGUUAUUGUUAUUAUUAUUGUUGUAUUGGAGGUAUGUUUGCUGCACUGUGCUCUUGUGUUCCAUGCUGGUGUGUGUACGUGUGUGUGUGGCUGGAGGAUGAAGGACAGCUACCUGCAGGCCUGAUGGGUGUGGCCCUGCCAGCUGCUGGUCACGCCUAGGUUCCCACACACCUGCUUCUGAUCAGGCUCGUCGGGGGAGCUACUUAACAGAGCGAGGGAGCUUCCUCCGGUGCAGGAUCGUUGAGUUAGACUCCAUGAAAGCGGAACACGGGACUGCAGGAUGCACGGGGUGUGCGUAGGCACAGGAGCAGAGAGCACGGAAUACCAGCACUUGGGACAAGACACAACACAGGAGUUGAGGGAGCACUCUGGAGACUUAUUGCAUGGUGUACAUUUUCCCCCACUGUAAAUAAAUGCACUGUUCAUUGCACUAAGUCCAGCGUUUGGGUCCAACAUCCCCCACGGUCUGCCACCCAGACCGUGACACACAUGGUUUAUAUGGGACUUCCAACAAAGCUUAUCAAUUAUCUCUCUAGAAAUGUUUUUUCGUACACGUUUUCAAUUUCAAUUCCAUUAACCCUGAUUUUAGAUACAUUUUUCAUUUGUCUGGUGCCAAAAAUAAUACAUAUUAUUUCAUUUAUAUUUAACAAUAACUUAUUUAUAUGAAACCAUUUUUUAGUAUAUUCUCCACUGUUCUUUUCCACUCUAGUCAGAAGCUGUUCCAGGUUAUUACCUGAGCAAUACAGAGUGGUAUCAUCAGCAAACAGAACACAUUUUAACAGUUUGGAAAUAUUACAUAUAUCAUUUAUAGUUCAUUAUGGACAAACUGUGGUUUGCACAGAGGUCCCUCAGUCACACCCCUCCAGCUCUCACUGUUGUUGCACACAUGAGUGUUUAAGUCUCCCAGUAAUAGCGUCACUAGAUGGAGCACCCUAAAGCACCCAGAGGAUAUGUUGAGCAAAGCUGGAGAAGCUUCAGCUUAAGAGAUCAUUGUUGGCAUUGCUGUGAUUCUUUAUGUGAUUCACUGACUUGGUGAGUAAAGUGUUACUCUUAUUCAAACUGGUUUUGUGCCUUCUCUCAGAUUAGCACCAGGUUUAUAAACUUGCUAGCUAGCUAGUGUUAGACUGGUGUUGCCUCUCGGCUCAUGGUGCUUAAAUUAACCCACAGCUUAAAAAACCUUAUAUAAAAUCUCUCAGUGAAAUUUUCUGUUGAUUGUUUGAAAUAGAAAAGUGAGCAGCUACUAGAUAAGAGCCGAGACGAAACUUAUUCUGAAGGUGCAGCCGUUAGGGGUGGGGCUUGUUUUAAUCCACUUUUAUAACAUGGACUGUACAUUCUUAACCUCUG
ensembl:lncRNA